CACUCUCUGGUUCCUUUCUCAUUCCUGUGUUGUCACUUGUUGGAACAGUCUGUGUUGUGGUUCUGCUGGUGUUACUUGAUCUGCUGGUGAGACGAUGUGUUCACAGGAAACCUGAAGCAACAGAAGAAGAUGACAUCACACAGACUGGAAUCAAAAUAACAAAUCAUCAAAAACUGCCGUUUAAACAAAGAAGAGACAUUUAUUCAUCUGUGGUCUACUCAGGAGUGAGUACUGAAGAUGUCAGUUAUGGACAGACAGCAGUCCGAAUGAGGAGGUCCAGACUUUAAACCAGAGCCAGACGUCGUCUACUCUUCACUGAAGUAGUCCACCAGUCCAACCACUGAUGUCCAGUUGCUGGUCUUGAACUGGUCCCCACAGCACCUCAGAUCAGAGUGUGUUCACUUGUUAAAUGAGGGAAAACUUUACAUUUUAUUUAUUUUUCCACUGGAGAAUCUUUUUUUAUGUGCUGAAAAAUAGUGACAGCAGUUUAAACAAAUUUGUAUGAUUUUAUGCCCUAUAAAAUUUUGGAGUUAUUUUUAUUUUGUUAAUGUUUGUUGGAUUUCUGCAGGCUCAAUAAA